rnacentral:rRNA from 1 species
UCGGGAAUUUUGGGCAAUGGGCGAAAGCCUGACCCAGCAACGCCGCGUGAGGGAUGAAGUAUUUCGGUAUGUAAACCUCGAAAGAAUGGGAAGAAUAAAUGACGGUACCAUUUAUAAGCUCCGGCUAACUACGUGCCAGCAGCCGCGGUAAUACGUAGGGAGCAAGCGUUGUUCGGAUUUACUGGGCGUAAAGGGCGCGUAGGCGGCGCGGUAAGUCACUUGUGAAAUCUCUGAGCUUAACUCAGAACGGCCAAGUGAUACUGUUGUGCUAGAGUGCGGAAGAGGCAACCGGAAUUCUUGGUGUAGCGGUGAAAUGCGUAGAUAUCAAGAGGAACACCUGAGGCGAAGGCGGGUUGCUGGGCCGACACUGACGCUGAUGCGCGAAAGCCAGGGGAGCAAACG